GACUUCUCCAAAGUACACAGGAAGAUCCAAUGUAAGGAUUGAGCAGUCCUCUGGGAGGAACACCAGAAGCUGAGAGACCUGAAUUGAUAUUUGAGUGUGUGGUUGGUGGCCUCAGCUGCUCUGGAACCUGUUGGUCUCUGUCCUGCAGCUCCCUGAGUGCCUGGCUGUGGGCUGAGCAAACACAGCAAAACUGAGAAGAGACAAACCAGCUUUAUUUAGUGAGUUUCUAACAUGAAGAAGAGAGAAACCAGCUUUAUUUGAUUCAGCUGUUGGUGUUCCUGCUGGAGCAAUCUCCUUGGGUCUCUCUGUCCAUCACCUUGGCCCCUGGCUGGGUUGGGGUUUGUUGUCCCCUUCUAACACCAUGGGUUGUGCUGCCUCUGCUUGAAGCUCAUCUUGAGCCUGGAAAUGUUGCACUUUGGGCCAGCUCCUGCACAGGGUUCUUGCUGUCAUGUGGAGCCAUAGGAAGGCUUGCAGAAGCCACCAGGGGCUGAAAUCCCAGCUGUGAGAUUUGCCAAAAUGCCUGGCUCAGGCUCCAGUGGCUGACAGACCCCAGUGUCCAGACACUGACCCCAUCCCAGAGCUGCUGGAGGAGACCCCACAGCCCCCACAGCUUCCCACCAGCUGGCUCUGAGGAGCACAGCCCCCAGAUGCUGCUCAGGCCACCUACAAAAGGCCUGUGUGUUGCAAGAGAGCUGCAGACCACCCUUGGGAAGCCUUGAUGGGCAGCCUCCCUCCUCUGG
rnacentral:lncRNA from 1 species